rnacentral:rRNA from 1 species
UCAGGACGAACGCUGGCGGCGUGCCUAACACAUGCAAGUCGAACGGGGAUUUGUUUCGGCAGAAUCCUAGUGGCGAACGGGUGAGUAACGCGUAGGCAACCUGCCCUCCGGCCGGGGACAACACUCCGAAAGGGGUGCUAAUACCGGAUACGAAGUCUGUGCCGCAUGGUACGGAUUUGAAAGAUGGCCUCUAUUUAUAAGCUAUCGCCGGGGGGAUGGGCCUGCGUCCGAUUAGCUGGUUGGUGGGGUAACGGCCUACCAAGGCGACGAUCGGUAGCCGGCCUGAGAGGGUGAACGGCCACAUUGGGACUGAGACACGGCCCAGACUCCUACGGGAGGCAGCAGUGGGGAAUCUUCCGCAAUGGGCGAAAGCCUGACGGAGCAACGCCGCCGUGAGUGAAGAAGGCCUUCGGGCCGUAAAGCUCUGUUGCCGGGGAAGAGUGCUAUGGGGGAACCCAUAGAGGGACGGUACCCGGCGAGGAAGCCGCGGCUAACUACGUGCCAGCAGCGGC